rnacentral:rRNA from 1 species
UCCUACGGGAGGCAGCAGUGAGGAAUAUUGGUCAAUGGACGAGAGUCUGAACCAGCCAAGUAGCGUGAAGGAUGACUGCCCUAUGGGUUGUAAACUUCUUUUAUAAGGGAAUAAAGUGAGGGACGUGUCCCUUUUUGUAUGUACCUUAUGAAUAAGGAUCGGCUAACUCCGUGCCAGCAGCCGCGGUAA